UGGUAGAGCUGAGGACA
rnacentral:miRNA from 1 species